rnacentral:lncRNA from 1 species
AUGAGUGUCUUCACCAGAAUAUAGUCUACUACAAUGUCAAUGGAAUAAGAAUUCAAAUAUAGAUAAAGAUAAUGAAGGAGAGUCAAGGCCUGCGAAACCAUGCAUCUACCUCGAUAGUCUCCGAGAUCUGACUCCUCAAUCAACAGCCGAAGCCGGAAGCACCUGGAUCUGCUCACGAGGUGCAGGGUGUAACAUGAGUACAACCAACUCAAUAAGUAACAAAUCCAACCUUUGGACUGAAAGAUAGUGACGAACUCAACCAGCAUAGUUUAAUAUAGAAAUAACAGUACAAAAUGUAGGCAUGCUUUCAAGUUCAAUAAAUAGCUCAAAACAGUAAAAUAAAUCAAAUCCGAAUGAUAUGAAGAAUAUAACUCUUCUACUUCUAGAUGCCAAUGCACAUGCUAUAUGUGGUACAUCAUGAUGACAACCUUAUAUGCUACACUCUCAAAUGCUCAAUCACUCAGUACUGUAUAUGGCCUAUAUGGUCCGGGGAAGAUUCAUCCCGGAAUAUAUACAUCACUGACCAUCAGUCACCUAGUACCGAGUAGGGCCAAUCCAGCCCGUGGAGAAGAUCCAUCUCUAAGUAUAUAAUGCUUCGGACAAGAUCCAUGUCCAGGAAAGAUCCAUCUCUCAAUAAUAUCAACUGCCCUUACUGGGUGUGUGUGCAGACUCCAGAUGAGCUCCUUCAGUCCAAGCGCUAUCAUAAAUUAGUAUAAUGGUUAUGACGUGUAGCCCGGUCCCAUAAAUUUCACUCAUAAUCAGGCUUUCGGCCUCACUCAGUCAUCAAUCUCCCCAGUCUCACUCACGGGGUUACAAAUGUCAUGAAACUAGCCUGAACAUGAUGAUAUGAUGUAUGAACAAAUAAUAACAGAGACUGAGAUAUGAUAUGAAAUAAAUGAACAUGAUUGAGUACAAAAUAUCAAUAAGAUCAAUAAGUUACAGCAAGAAAUGACCACUAUGGGUCCCAACAGUACCAACAUAUAGUCUAAACAUGCUCUCUAGCAUGAUUGACAACUUAGUUAUUUUAUCACAUGGUGAAAACACGAAUAUCAAUAAAAUAGGACCACUUUACAGUGCCAUGGAAUUGAGUAGGUCCCAAUUCAUACGGUGCACGCCCGCACACCCGUCACUUGGCAUGUGCGUCACCUCAAUACUAAUCACAUAACACAUAAUUCAGGGUUUCGAACCAUCAGAACUAAGUUUGAAAGUGUUACUUACCUCAAUCCGGGCAAAACUCUACUCCGACAUGUCUUUGCCUCUCAAAUCGGUAUCCAAACGUCCCGAAUCUAGUCACAAGCAGUACAUUACAAUCAAUAUAGGCUAAAGGAAUCAAUUCCACAAGAAAAAUACAAAUUUAUAAGCCAAAAUCCGGAAUUGGCUCAACCCGUCCCCCUGGGCCUAUGUCUCAAAAUCCGAUAAAAGUCACAAAACUAGAAAGCCCAUUUACUCACAAGUCUAACCAUACCAAAUUUACUCAAAUCCGAUGACAAAAUUCAAUUGAAAACCUCAAAAAUCUAGCCCAAGAAUUCUUCCUCACUUUACCCAAUUUUCUACCCCAAAUCACAAAGUAGAUGAUGGAAUUAAAGACAUAAUCAUGGAAUUUGACCAAAACUAAAUAGGAAUCACUUACCCCAAACACCCACGCAAGAAUCUCUCCUAAAAUCGCUUUCUACUGAGCUCCCAAAUAUAUUUUAUGUUAUGAACUCAAAACCCUCAUUUUUGAAUCUUGUAUUUUUCCUUGAUAUACCUUCAUCGCGAUCGAGGAACAUACCUCGCGAUCGCAAAGCACAACUGUGUUGCCCCACAAUUUAACCCUAUGCGAAAACGGAAUCCCUCAUGCGAACGCGAUGUAAUGACCCUCUGACUUACGCGAUCGCGAACCAUGUCACGCGUUCACGAUGAACAAACUGUGUGGUUCCAACUCCUAACUCACUUCCUCCUCGCGAAUGCGGCCUAGCCCAUGCGUUCGCGAUACACGGCUUCCCAACGCUACACGAUCGCAGCCUCUACUCACGAACGCGUAGAGCAAAUUCCAUCAGUGACCCAUUUAGCUUACGCGAUCGUGGACCUGCACACGUGAUCGCGUAUAGGGAAACCAGAUCAACCAAAAACCAGCAAACUCAACUUCAACAAUCUCCCAACUUAAAUUCUUGAUCCGUUAAUCACCCAAAAUCAUCCUGAGGCCUCUGCGACCUCAACCAAACAUACUAACAGGUCCUAAAUCACGAUACGAGCUUAGUCAAGCCUUCAAAUUACCUCAAACAAUAUCAAAAAUACGAAUUGCACAUGGAUUCAAGACUAAUGAACUUUUAAAUUUCCAUAUUCUAUAAACGACGUCAAAACCUAUCAAAUCAUGUCCGAUUGAUCUUAAACUUUGCACACAAGUCAAAAAUGACCCCACGAACCUACUCCAACUUCCAGAAAUCCAAUCCUACCCCGAUAUAAAAAAGUCCACUCCCGGUCAAACUUUCCAAAAUUCUAACUUUCGCCAUCUCAAGCCUAAUUCUACUACAGACUUCCAUACCACAAUCCGGACGCGCUCCUAAGUCCAAAGUUACCUAACGGAGUUAACAGAACCAUCAAAAUUUAAAUCUGAAGUUGUUUAUACAUAAGUCAACAUCCGGUCAAUUUUUCAACUUAAGCUUUCCAUCAAGAGACUAAGUGUCUCAAUUCACUAUGAAACCUCUUCGGACCUGAACCAACUAACCCCGUAAGUCAUAUAACAAUUGUAGAACACAAAAAAGCAGUAAAUAACUACGACUCGCAAAACAACCGACCGGAUCGUUACAAACAUCUAACACAUUGGAUUUCUAAUAUGAUCUUAGAUUUUUUUUGAAAUACAGCAGAAAGAAAUUAGCUUUUGAUUUUUGAUGCAUCGCUAAGACAAAUUUAAAAUCGGAGAUAGCCCCCAAAACAAAAAGGAAAAAGAUGAUGAAGAUUUAAGCUCUUUGGCAAGCAACAACCGUGUUCAAUUUGAAUGAGAACGAUAUGACCCUCUUCAUUUUCUCCUCAAUUAAGAAAAAGAAACAAAUUGUAAAAAGUUGGAUAUCAUAACCUUAUGUAGAUCACAUAUAAAAGAUUUUCUUUAAAAUGGUAAAAGCACAAAGGAUGUGCUAAAACCAUCUUUACAAUUUGACAGAAUAAAAAACAUAACUUUUAUCUAACUCUUACUACAGAGAUCCAAUGAUAUAUACAAAAUGAAUCAACAUUUUGCACGAAAUCUUCCUUACACCAUAAGUGAAAAUAAGAAAAUACAAAAAAUAAAUCAACAACUAUAAUACUGCUCAUAUAAAUUUAGAAGCCAAGAAAAUAUAAAAAAUGAAUCAACUAUUUAUAAUACCGAUCAUACAAUGUCAAAAAAUGAAUUAACAACUUAUAUCAUCUACACAGGGGCAGAUGCAGCUUGAAAGUACCGGAUUCAGAUGAACCCGGUACUUUCGAUACGGAGUAUAAAUUUAUGUAUAAAAAUCUACUAAAAUUGAAAGAAAUAAUGUAAUGAGUUUGAACCUUAAAUUUGAAUUUCGAAUCCGCCUUUGCAUCCACACCACCCCAACCACCACACUGCAAAUCCAAGAAUAGCAUUUUAAACUAUACAAUACACGAUUUAAAAAGAAUUGUCCAACAAAAAAGUACCAAGAAAUCAGGAGAAAUAUUUCUUGGUAAUGAACCCUUCCGGACCCCAUAUUGUUUCACACACUUGAGAGAUUGAGUCUUUUUUAAAACUCUUGUUGUUGGUGGAAAGGAUCCUUUGUGUGAGAAGUUUUUUGUUGAUAGUUAAGACCUUGUCUUUCAGAGUUUUGAGAAAUGGGAAUAAGCUUGUUAUAGAUGAACUCAACAAACAUUUCCCAGGUGUAAUCAUCAUCCAUAGGGUUUUAAGGUUUGUAAAACCUCAUGGAAAACACUGUAGCUCUACACCUUCUUAAUUAUGUCUACAUCGAUUAAAUUCCAAGGCUUUUCCAAUGGUGACGUUUGGUGCAAUGAGUGUCUUGCAUUCAACUUUCUUCUAUUCAACC